GUGGGGAAUUUUGGACAAUGGGCGAAAGCCUGAUCCAGCCAUGCCGCGUGCAGGAUGAAGGCCUUCGGGUUGUAAACUGCUUUUGUACGGAACGAAAAGACUCUGGUUAAUACCUGGGGUCCAUGACGGUACCGUAAGAAUAAGCACCGGCUAACUACGUGCCAGCAGCCGCGGUAAUACGUAGGGUGCAAGCGUUAAUCGGAAUUACUGGGCGUAAAGCGUGCGCAGGCGGUUAUAUAAGACAGAUGUGAAAUCCCCGGGAUCAACCUGGGAACUGCAGUUGUGAAUGUAUAGCUAGAGUACGGCAGAGGGGGAUGGAAUUCCGCGUGUAGCAGUGAAAUGCGUAGAUAUGCGGAGGAACACCGAUGGCGAAGGCAAUCCCCUGGGCCUGUACUGACGCUCAUGCACGAAAGCGUGGGGAGCAAACAGGAUUAGAAACCCUAGUAGUCC
rnacentral:rRNA from 1 species